UGGAGUGUAGAUUCUUAAAGGAUUAAUAGGCAGUCGAAUCAUUCAGACUAAGGAAUCUGCAAUGGAGUUCUACAAUCAAAUAAAUCAAUCUUUGGAGUAUUCUCCUCUGCCAAAUAAUGAUGUGAACAGAGCUUUCUCUCCUCUCAGAAUAACUUCAAAUGGGAUUAAUCUCAUCUUCAGGAAGAUCCCACAUUAUUAUGUCCUUGCAGAAUUUCCUGGACUGGAGGAAGUUAAAAGGACCUUCUCUGUUGGAAUCCAGAUAAUAGAAUAAGAAUAGAAAAAAAAUGAAAAGAAAAUCAACGAGUAUACUAAACUGACUUGUAUGAUGAGUGUAAAGGUAAAGAGACUAGGAAGAGUGAAGAAAAUGCCUGUUCUUUCAUAAGCAAAGACUUGAAUGGGCAGGUGUUAUCAACUGGACUCCCUGUAACAUUCAUUGUUCCACAAGCAAACACACUUGAUGAUGAGGAAAUUAUUGGCCCAGUUUAAGGAUAAAGGCAAGUUCUGUAUGUACUUAAGCAUUUCUAGUGAAUCAUGUGAAUGUUCUGAACUGGGAAACUUCAAAAGCAAUUUGCCUUAAAAAUAUUAGGUAAUAAAUUAUAGUCUAUAUUAUAAUAAAGGUCCAUUUUUGUCAGGUCUAUAUUAGAAUUCUCUAGUGUUUAUAUGGUAAUUUGUCCAAUAUAGUCCUUUUUAACAACAUUCAAGCUUAAAAAGCUUGCCAUUGUCUUCAUUGGAAUAUAAUUAUUAAUUUUAUGACUAUGUUGUAAGUUAAAUGCUUAGCAUGGGAAAUUUCCCAUGUUUCAGACUCAUUUCUUUAUGAGAGCUAUGAAUUUUUAUGUUGUCAGAAAGCAGUAACUUUCUUGCAGUAUGCCAUAUUAAAUUGCUGACAAUAACAGAUUCAUUUCUCAAAACAAAU
rnacentral:lncRNA from 1 species